GUCGUUCGAUUGAGAGCUACCAGAGACAGAGGAGGCACACAAAAGGCAACGCCUUCCAUACCGUUUGCCGCCGUAAUUGUCCUCGCACCACUAUAGUGCCGUUCGCCGUCAUCGUCCUCCCACCAGGGGCUAGCCGUUGCCAUAGCUGCAAGCAUUGGAGGAGCAACUGAUGGACUGAGCAGAAAAUUGAAGCACAAAAUUUGCGAUCGUGGAGUUACAAGUGCAAGCUGAUAAAAUUACACAUACACUCACAGAGAUAGAUAAAGAGAGAGAGAGAUAUAUAAAUAGAUAGAGAAGCAUUGGUGGUGGUUUGUCCCCCAUUAAUGUAAGUUGCUUCUCUGUACAACAUAGAAAAUAUUUUGCAAACUAAUUUCGCUUUAAUGUAACGAACUUAUCUAAAAACCUUUAGUUGUGCUGUAUUGAAUGAGUUUUACAAUUU